CCUACGGGUGGCAGCAGUGAGGAAUAUUGGACAAUGGGCGCGAGCCUGAACCAGCCAAGCAGCGUGAAGGAUGACUGCCCUACGGUUUGUAAGCUCCUUUUAUAAAGGAAUAAAGUGAGGCUCGUGUGCCUUUUUUUAUGUACUUUAUGUAUAAGGAUCGGCGAACUACGUGCCAGCAGCUGCGGUAAUGUGGUGGAAUCGAGCGUUACCCGGUUUUAUUGGGUGUAACGGGAGCGUAGAUGGGUUAUUAAGUUAGAUGUGAAAGUUUGCGGCUCAACCGUAAAAUUGCAAUUGAUACUGGCAGUCUUGAGUACAGUAGAGGUAGGUGGAAGUCGAUGUGUAGCGGUGAAAUGCUUAGAUAUCACGAAGAACACCGAUUGCGAAGGCAGCUUACUAAGCUGCCACUGACAUUGAUGCUCGAAAGUGUGGGUAGCAAACAGGAUUAGAUACCCUAGUAGUC
rnacentral:rRNA from 1 species